rnacentral:lncRNA from 1 species
CUCGUCCCAGGAGAAGUCCCAGCCGCGGCCGUCCGGGCGGCGGCGGGCGCGGAUGGGGAGUUGGUUGGCGACGACGAUGGUGCGGUCGCGGGUGGUGGAAGAGGGGCCGGUGGCGGAGCCGUCGGAGUCGGAGUCGGAGUCGAGGUCGGAGAUGAUGCCGGCGACGGUCAUCACGCGGGGGAUCCGCCGGCGGAUCUGGCUGAUAGAGGGAGGCUCGCCGGAGGCUAGCUCGAGGAGGUUUGAGUAAGACCGCGACACCAUUUUUUCCGGCGAUUAGAGAUCAAAGAAAGGAUCUUUCCGGCUCAGCAAAGCCUCGACCGAAUCAAAUAGCCAGUACUCAUCGAAAUCCCAGCUCAGAACAUAUCAAAGCGAGAGAAAAAGGAUUU